UACGAAGGGGACUAGCGUUGUUCGGAAUCACUGGGCGUAAAGCGCACGUAGGCGGAUUCGUAAGUUAGGGGUGAAAUCCCGGGGCUCAACCUCGGAACUGCCUUUGAUACUGCAGGUCUCGAGUCCGAUAGAGGUGGGUGGAAUUCCUAGUGUAGAGGUGAAAUUCGUAGAUAUUAGGAAGAACACCGGUGGCGAAGGCGGCCCACUGGAUCGGCACUGACGCUGAGGUGCGAAAGCGUGGGGAGCAAACAGG
rnacentral:rRNA from 1 species